ACGAACGCUGGCGGCGUGCUUAACACAUGCCAGUCGCACGCUGAAGCUCAGCUUUUGUUGGGUGGAUGAGUGGCGAACGGGUGAGUAACACGUGAGUAACCUGCCCCCUUCUUUGGGAUAACGCCCGGAAACGGGUGCUAAUACUGGAUAUUCACUGGUCUUCGCAUGGGGGUCGGUGGAAAGGGUUUUUCUGGUGCGGAUGGGCUCGCGGCCUAUCAGCUUGUUGGUGGGGUGAUGGCCUACCAAGGCUUUGACGGGUAGCCGGCCUGAGAGGGUGACCGGUCACAUUGGGACUGAGAUACGGCCCAGACUCCUACGGGAGGCAGCAGUGGGGAAUAUUGCACAAUGGGCGCAAGCCUGAUGCAGCGACGCCGCGUGAGGGAUGGAGGCCUUCGGGUUGUGAACCUCUUUCGCUCAUGGUCAAGCCGCAACAAUGGUUGUGGUGAGGGUAGUGGGUAAAGAAGCGCCGGCUAACUACGUG
rnacentral:rRNA from 1 species